GCUUGACGGUACCAGAGGAAUAAGCACCGGCUAACUCCGUGCCAGCAGCCGCGGUAAUACGGAGGGUGCNAGCGUUAUCCGGAUUCACUGGGUUUAAAGGGUGCGUAGGCGGGCAGGUAAGUCCGUGGUGAAAUCUCUGAGCUUAACUCAGAAACUGCCAUGGAUACUAUUUGUCUUGAAUAUUGUGGAGGUAAGCGGAAUAUGUCAUGUAGCGGUGAAAUGCUUAGAUAUGACAUAGAACACCAAUUGCGAAGGCAGCUUACUACACAGUUAUUGACGCUGAGGCACGAAAGCGUGGGGAUCAAACAGGAUUAGAUACCCUGGUAGUCCACGCCCUAAACGAUGAUUACUCGACAUCAGCGAUACACUGUUGGUGUCUGAGCGAAAGCAUUAAGUAAUCCACCUGGGAAGUACGAUCGCAAGAUUGAAACUCAAAGG
rnacentral:rRNA from 1 species